rnacentral:rRNA from 1 species
GACGAACGCUGGCGGCGUGCUUAACACAUGCAAGUCGAACGCUGAAGCUUGGUGCUUGCACUGGGUGGAUGAGUGGCGAACGGGUGAGUAAUAAGUGAGUAACCUGCCCUUGACUCUGGGAUAAGCCUGGGAAACUGGGUCUAAUACUGGAUACGACAUGUCACCGCAUGGUGGUGUGUGGAAAGGGUUUUACUGGUUUUGGAUGGGCUCACGGCCUAUCAGCUUGUUGGUGGGGUAAUGGCUCACCAAGGCGACGACGGGUAGCCGGCCUGAGAGGGUGACCGGCCACACUGGGACUGAGACACGGCCCAGACUCCUACGGGAGGCAGCAGUGGGGAAUAUUGCACAAUGGGCGGAAGCCUGAUGCAGCGACGCCGCGUGAGGGAUGACGGCCUUCGGGUUGUAAACCUCUUUCAGCACGGAAGAAGCGAAAGUGACGGUACGUGCAGAAGAAGCGCCGGGUAACUACGUG